UAUCGAAAAACCGCAAUCUACGUUUUGAAUUACCCGCCGGUAGUUGUAUAGUACGGAGGUGUCUCGAUAGAUGAUGCUAUCGACGUUCAUCGAAGUUCAUUUUAUCUUGAACAUCCGCAUCUUGGUAAAUUCUACCUGGUGAUGCUUGAAGUUGAAGGUUACAUUGACAAGACUGUCCUGGGUAGGUCGCGCCAUGCGUUUAUAAUCUGCUAAAGAUAGAAAACGAGAGAUACCUUAAUUAUGAGUAAAACACAGCACUAGCAACACUUCGAAGCAGUACCCAAAAAGAAUACAGCUCUAUGCCAUUUGUUUAUACAGCUCUAUAGCCAUUUUACGUUAUAUUUUUACGGAAACGCCAGAAAUAUUGUAUAUUUGCAAUAAUAUGUAUUUUAUUGAUCGAAUAGUGUACAACAAUUACAAACGUAACAGAAAAUUAUCUAGAUGUUGUAUCGAUCGAUCUCAUUUUGCCAUUAACGCGGUCGUUCCUAUUAACAAUGAACGAAUCCAUAGCAUCGAAGAGUUUAAAUUUUUGUACUUUUAAGUCAAUAGAGCAACUAUGGCGGAUCAUGAAAAUUAUCGUGUCAAGAGAUACGUUUAUAUUCUAUUCGCAUACUUACGAUGCUGGACCGGUAUUAUUGCAUUAGGGGUGUCGGUCUAUAUUAAGAACAAUUUAAUAAUUAGUUAGAUUUUUUGUACACGCUUGGGUACAAAGAAAUCGCAGACUUAUAAAUUCGGAGUAAUCUUAACGGAAGUCGCUUUAGAGGGUUCGGUAUGACUGGAGUUCUGGAAUCCCGGCUCGUUUUAAAUAUUUAAAAAUGUUACGGAUGGUUUUAAAAGAGAGAUUAAUUUAGUAUCAUGGCGCUGUUAUUAUAACACGUAUAUUUUGUUGACCGUAACACCAAAAUUGCCUCUUGACAACCGCGCGUUUUAAAUAUUUAAAAAUGUUACGGAUGCGUUUAAAAGAGAAAUUAAUUUAGUAUCAUGGCGCUGUUCUUAUAACACGUACAUUUUGUUGACCGUAACACCAAAAUUGCCUCUUGACAACCGCGCUCGGUUCACACUGUCCGACUAAUCGUUACUUCUCAGUGUACCAGGACGUAUUGCGGACCACUCUACCGUAAUUAAUAGAACCAUCAACGGUUACGUUAAUAAAUAAAAUCUUUUAAACGCGAUAAUUUCAAUGUUUAUUUUGUCAAUAUUAACGAAAAACUUAGCGCAUUGAUUCAUCAGCGGUUCACAGCUGUAUAAUUAUUGAAAAUACUAUAUGACGAUGACACGAUUUACGUAGAUCAUUCAGUUAGAUACGGUUAUGCGUUAAUACAUAUUUUAUUAUAUUUUUUACAGAUCUUUUAGGCUACUUUCCUAUGUAUUCUAAUAUAAUUCUAUUCAAUAAUAUUGCAAUAAUAUUUGACACUUAAGAAUACUGUUAAAUUCUGAACAUAUCGAAAGUUCCAUUUUCAAGCUGCACUUAGGUAUAACAACAUAAAAUGCAGCAUAUCUGAAAAAUUAAAUAAUACGAAGCGUUUAGUAAUCAUGUGUUUAUUGUAAUUUCGCUUCGGAAAGGUAACUUAUCGAACUUUAUUGACAAAAUGGCAGUCGUAGAAUAAAUUUUUACAAAACGUGUGUAUAUAUAUAUGUAUAUAUAGAUAUGUAUAUGUAUAGAAAAUGCGUACGGGUUGUUACGAGAAUAAUAUCAAGAUUAUGCGAUAGGGAACGAGGAAGAAUAGGUUUUGCUUGAUAUUAAAAUGUUAUUACGAAAUUGUUACGAAUCCCUAACGUUAUACAUCUUUAUAUUAUUAGAGUGCCCGGUCUAAAACUACAGUUGGCACGAUGAUAGCUUGCAAUAUCGACGAGCUUGUUUGCUAGGACAUGCGCGUAGCUUCCAAUGGUUUACAUGCAACUUUUCCCGCCAUUUUCCCCGUUGCUUCCGUCGUCAAUGUCUCUGCUGUACGGUUACCACUUUCCGCUCCUCCAAAUUUAUAUUCGAUCGUAAUUAUUGCUCGCCGUUGGUUGCCUCCACUAAUUCCUCGCAUUUGUCUUCUAGAUCGGCCUGCAAUUUUGUUAAAACAGCGUAUCGUUUUUAUUAUGUCAUAGAACGGUUUAAAAAAAAUAUAUUUUAAGUUAACGUUUCGUGGUAGAUAAUAAUUUAUCGAUAGAAAAUUA